rnacentral:rRNA from 1 species
CUACGGGUGGCUGCAGGCGCGAAAACUUUACAAUGCAGGAAACUGUGAUAAGGGAACCCCGAGUGCCCGUAUACGCGGGCUGUCCUGGUGUUUAAAAUGCACCAGAAGAAAGGGCCGGGCAAGACCGGUGCCAGCCGCCGCGGUAAUACCGGCGGCUCGAGUGGUGACCACUUUUAUUGGGCUUAAAGCGUUCGUAGCUGGACUCUUAAGUCUCUUGGGAAAUCUGCAGGCUUAACCUGCAGGCGUUCAAGAGAUACUGGGAGUCUAGGAACCGGGAGAGGUAAGAGGUACUUCAGGGGUAGAAGUGAAAUUCUGUAAUCCUUGAGGGACCACCGAUGGCGAAGGCAUCUUACCAGAACGGCUUCGACAGUGAGGAACGAAAGCUGGGGGAGCGAACGGGAUUAGAUACCCCCGUAGUC